rnacentral:tRNA from 1 species
AAGGGUAUAGCUCAGGGGUAGAGUACACGCCUAGCAAGCACGAAGCCCUGGGUCAAUUCCCAGUACCUCCA